UACAAGGGCGAGCAGUGUUGUGAAUUAUUGGGCGUAAAGGGCGCGUAGGCGGUUCGGCAAGUCUCUAGUGAAAUCUCAGGGCUCAACUCUGAGUCUGCUGGGGAAACUGCCGGGCUUGAGUGUGGGAGAGGAGAGUGGAAUUCCCGGUGUAGCGGUGAAAUGCGUAGAUAUCGGGGAGGAACACCUGUGGCGAAAGCGGCUCUCUGGACCACAACUGACGCUGAGGCGG
rnacentral:rRNA from 1 species